GAAUUCUUUUUUGACAUUCUGUCUGGAGUUCUGAGAGACCCUACUUUGUCUUUGGCGACACUUUUUUUCUCUUCAGUUUUUUUUUUUGGACCUUUCAACCUUUGUAACUCUUGCUUUCCUGUUACACAAUAUUGUCCGAGGUUGUGUAUUUAGGGGGAACCACACACACAGGUGAUGUCAGUGCGAAAGGUGGAUGCCACUGACAGUUCAGAUGUCGCCACCGAAACCACCUGCCUGAGAAAGUCCUGUUGUCUUCUUCCCUGACCACCGUGGCACUGGGGUCCUCGGGAGCUGAAGGACAACAAGCACAUGCAAUAAUGUCAGAUGAUACAAUAUAAGUUGUCAGAAAAUCCCGAUGGCUGAAGUAUGAACAUAUUGUCGAAAGCUUCUGAUAUGAAACCACAUGUAGGAAACCACUUCCUGCUCUUGAACACUGGCGCUAAUGUGCAGCACUGCGUGAUAUUUUGGAUAUUCAUGCAAGGCAGCACAUACACAAUGGAUUAUGAGUCAAUACCUUUAUCUUUGACACUUUUAGUUGUUUUAUUUGACAUUUGUUUUAUCGUAGUUGUUUCUUGAUCAGACAUGCAGACUAUUCAAAAUACCAGUGGACCAAAUUAAGGGAUACAGAAACAAUGUUUUUCUUUGGAUUUUAAAACAAAUACUUUUUUUUUGUUUUUGAAGAGUCACCUCCCAGCUCUGCAUGCUGCGGUAUUUAUCGUUUGUGCGUAAAACCAAUAUGCUCUUGAGAUCGCUUGCUUCCUGUGCUGCGGCUUCAAAUUCAAAUUCUGCUUUCAAUAUAACCGCCGACUUCUCUAUUUCAUGCAUACUUUAUUAUAGAUACACUAAAUAUAUUUCACGUGCUGACAGACGACUUGUACUUAAAUGAGAGAGACCAAUUUCAAUCAUCUAUUGUAUACUGUAACAAACAAUGUCAACUUUUUGGAUUUAUUCUUGUACUUGGUGUUAUCAAUUCGUUAAAGGAAAUUAAUAAAUGCGUUCAUUAAAUAAGCUCUGCUUCUUCCUACUCCUUUUCACACUUGUUGAAAUGGGGAACUGUAAAUAUUUGAUGUACUAUAUUCUAAUUACGUACAUGUACUUUUUUUUUA